rnacentral:rRNA from 1 species
CGGGUGAGUAAUGUCUGGGAAACUGCCCGAUGGAGGGGGAUAACUACUGGAAACGGUAGCUAAUACCGCAUAAUGUCUGCGGACCAAAGCGGGGGACCUCCGGGCCUCGCGCCAUCAGAUGAACCCAUAUGGGAUUAGCUAGUAGGUGGGGUAAUGGCUCACCUAGGCGACGAUCCCUAGCUGGUCUGAGAGGAUGACCAGCCACACUGGAACUGAGACACGGUCCAG